UACAGAGGUGGCAAGCGUUGUUCGGAAUUACUGGGCGUAAAGGGUGCGUAGGCGGCGCGGUAAGUCGGGGGUGAAAUCUCGGAGCUUAACUCCGAAACUGCAUUCGAUACUGCCGUGCUUGAGGACUGGAGAGGAGACUGGAAUUUACGGUGUAGCGGUGAAAUGCGUAGAUAUCGUAAGGAAGACCAGUGGCGAAGGCGGGUCUCUGGACAGUUCCUGACGCUGAGGCACGAAGGUCAGGGGAGCAAACGGG
rnacentral:rRNA from 1 species